rnacentral:lncRNA from 1 species
CAGAUACUUGGGGCAGUUGCGCUUCCAAUAACUAGUACCCUUGCAAUAAUAGCACUCAGUUUCCGGCUUAGGCCCAUCCUUCGGUUUGUUCGUCAUAGGGGCAAUAGUUUUGCCACUCUUCUUGGAGUUACCCUUAUUUCCUUUGCCACUCUUCUUGGAGUUACCCUUCUUUCCUUUGCCAUUCUUCUUGAAAAUAUUGGUCUUAUUGACCAUCAACACUUGAUGUUCUUUCUGGAUUUCUGACUCAGCGACUUUCAGCAUCGCAAAUACCUCGCGGGUGACUUAUUCAUCCCUUGCAUGUUAUAGUUCAACAUGAAACUCUUGUAGCUAGGUGGCAGUGAUUGAAGAAUUCU